AACGAACGCUGGCGGCAGGCCUAACACAUGCAAGUCGAGCGCCCUUUCGGGGGAGCGGCGGACGGGUGAGUAACGCGUGGGAAUAUGCCCUUCUCUACGGAAUAGCCUCGGGAAACUGAGAGUAAUACCGUAUACGCCCUAUGGGGGAAAGAUUUAUCGGGGAAGGAUUAGCCCGCGUUGGAUUAGGUAGUUGGUGGGGUAAUGGCCUACCAAGCCGACGAUCCAUAGCUGGUUUGAGAGGAUGAUCAGCCACACUGGGACUGAGACACGGCCCAGACUCCUACGGGAGGCAGCAGUGGGGAAUCUUAGACAAUGGGGGCAAACCUGAUCUAGCCAUGCCGCGUGAGUGAUGAAGGCCUUAGGGUUGUAAAGCUCUUUCAGCUGGGAAGAUAAUGACGGUACCAGCAGAAGAAGCCCCGGCUAACUCCGUG
rnacentral:rRNA from 1 species